AACGAACGCUGGCGGCAGGCCUAACACAUGCAAGUCGAACGCCCCGCAAGGGGAGUGGCAGACGGGUAAGUAACACGUGGGAACCUUCCCUAUAGUACGGAAUAGCCCAGGGAAACUUGGAGUAAUACCGUAUACGCCCGAGAGGGGAAAGAUUUAUCGCUAUAGGAUGGGCCCGCGUAAGAUUAGCUAGUUGGUGAGGUAAUGGCUCACCAAGGCGACGAUCCUUAGCUGGUUUGAGAGAACGACCAGCCACACUGGGACUGAGACACGGCCCAGACUCCUACGGGAGGCAGCAGUGGGGAAUAUUGGACAAUGGGCGCAAGCCUGAUCCAGCCAUGCCGCGUGAGUGAUGAAGGCCUUAGGGUUGUAAAGCUCUUUUGCCGGGGACGAUAAUGACGGUACCCGGAGAAUAAGUCCCGGCUAACUUCGUGCCAGCAGCCGCAGUAACAC
rnacentral:rRNA from 1 species